UAAACCACACCGCAUGAUGGUUUCCCCCUAAGGGAAUGAAAAGGGAACCGGGUGCCCGCGCCAUUGCCUGCAAUGGUUUUGCGAUAUUCCCGGGCUGUCCCCGCAACUGUAAGCGGCAUGGAUGUGCACGCACAGCGCCAAGCGCUGGCCCACUGGAACAAACCUUUCCGGGAAGGGGUGCCACAACCGAAAAACCGCAAGCCAGGAGACCUGCCAUCAGCACACAGUUGCA
rnacentral:ncRNA from 2 species